GCGAAGGUGGCGGAAUUGGUAGACGCGCUAGCUUCAGGUGUUAGUGUCCUUACGGACGUGGGGGUUCAAGUCCCCCCUCGCGCACCA
rnacentral:tRNA from 1 species